AAUACGUGAUGUGGGCAUGCUCUCAUUAGCUCCUUAAAUCGCCCCCAUGCUUUGAAGAGCGAUUCACAGUCUGUCUGCCAAAAGUAAGUAAUUUGGUUCCUAAGUU